rnacentral:rRNA from 1 species
CUCAGAUUGAACGCUGGCGGCAUGCCUUACACAUGCAAGUCGAACGGCAGCACGGACUUCGGUCUGGUGGCGAGUGGCGAACGGGUGAGUAAUGUAUCGGAACGUACCUUUCAGUGGGGGAUAACGUAGCGAAAGUUACGCUAAUACCGCAUAUUCUGUGAGCAGGAAAGCAGGGGAUCGCAAGACCUUGCGCUGAUUGAGCGGCCGAUAUCAGAUUAGCUAGUUGGUGAGGUAAAGGCUCACCAAGGCGACGAUCUGUAGCGGGUCUGAGAGGAUGAUCCGCCACACUGGAACUGAGACACGGUCCAGACUCCUACGGGAGGCAGCAGUGGGGAAUUUUGGACAAUGGGGGCAACCCUGAUCCAGCCAUGCCGCGUGAGUGAAGAAGGCCUUCGGGUUGUAAAGCUCUUUCGGCCGGGAAGAAAUCGCAUGGGCUAAUACCCUGUGCGGAUGACGGUACCGGCAUAAGAAGCACCGGCUAACUACGUG